rnacentral:tRNA from 1 species
GCGGGCGUAGCCAAGAGGUUAAGGCAGUGGAUUGUGGUUCCACCAUUCGUGGGUUCGAGUCCCAUCGUCCGCCCUCCA